ensembl:lncRNA
CGAAAUUGUUGUUGUUGUGUUUGAAGCGGAGACGUUUGCAGUGACGUAUUGACGUUGCUCUCGCCGGCUCCAUGGCUGGCUCUGCUCUGUGUGAAACCAACUGGUUCAUAACUGGGAUAAGGCUGGACCAGUUUGGAACUGGCCCUAGCCCCAGCCCGGAACUGGCUCUUGGUUCUUUUUGAUGUGAAAGCCCCAUAUGAGACCGCUAACAUACUGCUAAUACACUGCUAACAGACUGCUAACAGACCACUAACAGACUAGCCUGCUAACAGACCGCUAUGAGACCGCUAACAUACUGCUAACAGACCGCUAACAGGCCGCUAACAGACUAGCCUGCUAACAGACCGCUAGCAGACUGCUAUGAGACCGCUAACAUACUGCUAACAGAUUGCUAACAGACCGCUAAUAGACUAGCCUGCUAACAGGCCGCUAACAGACCGCUAUGAGACCGCUUACAUACAGCUAACAGACUGCUAACAGACUAGCCUGCUAAACGACAGCUAACAGACCACUAUGCGACCGCUAACAGACUGCUAACAGACUGCUAACAGACCGUUCAGACCACUAACAGACCUCUAACAGACUGCUAACAGACAAGUGUCUGUGUGUGUGUGUGUGUGUGUGCGUGUGUGUGUGCGUGCGUUACCAGGUGUCCUGUGUGUGCGUAGGCCAGCAGCAGCAGCAGCGAGGCCAGAGACACACAGAGCAGCUCAGAGACGGAGCGGCGCAGAGCACGGCCGAACACCGCCCACUCCCGCAGGAACCGCAACUGGUGAGAGGCCUGGG